rnacentral:misc_RNA from 1 species
GUGAAUCAUCAAAUCUUUGAACGCAAAUUGCACUCUCUUCGAAGACUAUGCCUGUUUGAGUUUCAGCCUAAAAAAAAUCGACAUAGUUACUGUUUUCGCGCUGACAUUCGUCGGAAAUUGGGCCAUCUUAAACCUUUGGGUUUUAAGCGGCUUAAAAUUUUCUUUACUAUUCCACCAACGUUUCUACAAUAUGUACUUCUUACACGUUUAAGGUACCGAUCUUUAUUAGCCGUGGCCGUUGCAUCGGAUCCCGUCCAUAAA